rnacentral:rRNA from 1 species
CCUACGGGAGGCAGCAGUGGGGAAUUUUGGACAAUGGGCGCAAGCCUGAUCCAGCAAUGCCGCGUGAGUGAAGAAGGCCUUCGGGUUGUAAAGCUCUUUUGUCAGGGAAGAAACGGCUGCGGUUAAUACCUUUGGCUAAUGACGGUACCUGAAGAAUAAGCACCGGCUAACUACGUGCCAGCAGCCGCGGUAAUACGUAGGGUGCAAGCGUUAAUCGGAAUUACUGGGCGUAAAGCGUGCGCAGGCGGUUUUGUAAGUCUGACGUGAAAUCCCCGGGCUCAACCUGGGAAUUGCGUUGGAGACUGCAAGGCUGGAGUCUGGCAGAGGGGGGUAGAAUUCCACGUGUAGCAGUGAAAUGCGUAGAGAUGUGGAGGAACACCGAUGGCGAAGGCAGCCCCCUGGGUCAAGACUGACGCUCAUGCACGAAAGCGUGGGGAGCAAACAGGAUUAGAUACCCUGGUAGUCCACGCCCUAAACGAUGUCUACUAGUUGUCGGGUCUUAAUUGACUUGGUAACGCAGCUAACGCGUGAAGUAGACCGCCUGGGGAGUACGGUCGCAAGAUUAAAACUUAAAGGAAUUGACGG